GCGCGUUUUUGUAGGAAGUACCUCCCGAGUUUUGUUGGCCAGAAGUGCUACAACUGAAGCAUUCUACCAAUUGAAUCGUCUACUUAACCGUACUCCUCAGUUCAAAGCAAUAGGUGUUCAAUUUAACGCGUAACAACAGUGCGUCGCCAAGGAAUAAAUAUUUAAAAAAAAAAAAGUAAGCUUUUUGUUUCAAAAUCGAGCGUGGUCGAGCCGGAAAAAUUAUUAGCAGCGCUAAGCGAAAGAAAAAAUAUUUUGCCCAGUCACCGCAAACGAUUUCUGCAAACGCCGCCAAGAAGUAAUUACUUUCCAGCGAAUUGUGCAACAACAUUUUUGGUUCAAAAACGCGCGAAACAAGCAUAAAAAAAUUAUUAAAUAAUAACUAAUCGAUAGAUCAUGAAACAGUGUUGAAAUAUUCAAAAAACAAAAAGGAAGCCGCAUUCUAUCGAGUAUCUGAAAAUUGCAAUCGAAGCUCGAGAAGUAUCGCAAAUACUUGUCUGAUAAACAACACAAAUUUUUGACAGCGCGUGUGUGCCGGUGUGUGUGCCAGUGUGCCAGUAUCAGAGUGUGUGUUGUUGGUGUGUUGGCUGUCUGCUUUUGACAGAUAAAAGUUGUCGAAGGAGAGAGUCGGUCGGAAAAUUUAUUGAAAAAGUAUAUAGUGCAAGAGCCGGGCCAGGCCAGGCAGCAGGGAAAUUUCACGGAAAAGUCCAUUGUUUUUGCCGGCAAAGUUAAUGACGUCACGUUGUACCGCUGCCUGCUUUAAAGCCAACAACAACAACAUAGCGCGUGUUUAGCAACAGCAACAGCAACAACAAUAAAAGAGGUUAAAAAUACAUUUUUAAUUUACCAUCAACGGCCAAGAAAGAGGAAAGGAGUCAAGACGGGCAGUAGCAGUGGCAGUAGCAGCUUCAACAACAACAGAAACAACAAACAGCAAGUCAGCUGGACAACCGAAGAUAAUGUAAAAUCAGCUUACACACAAAAAAGCAGUAAAAAAUAAAAGCAGAAAAAAAUUAAUAACUGCGUCUAUCUAUAGAUCUAUUAAAAAAAAAUAAAACACACACACAUCUAUAUAUAAAUAUUAUGAAUAAGCGUUCGAUUUGAAUCAAAAUUAAAGCCCAAGCUAUCAGCUAUCAGCUAUCCCCACAAGCUUUGUAAUCCAGAAAACGCUAAAGAAAAUCGAUAAACUGAAAUCAUACUAUAGAUCAUACUAUAGAUGCUAUAUGCUAUACUUAUAUAGGUGCUGAUCUGUGCUCUCUUCAAUUAGUGUUUUUUGUGUGUGUGCGUGUCGCGGAGAAGAGAAGAUUUGCAAAAAAAAAAGUACAUUUUCUAGUCGCUAGGCUAUAUCAAAAAAAAAAAAAAAACUAUAUAAAAUCCAGCUAACCCAGAUCCGAAUAGCUAUAUACCCCGAUAUACACACACGAUGGCCAACGUUGUCAAUAUGAACAGCCUGCUGAACGGCAAGGACUCGCGCUGGCUGCAACUGGAGGUCUGUCGCGAAUUUCAGCGCAACAAAUGUUCGCGCCAGGACACCGAGUGCAAGUUCGCCCAUCCCCCCGCCAAUGUGGAGGUCCAGAACGGCAAGGUCACCGCCUGCUACGACAGCAUCAAGGGCCGCUGUAAUCGUGAUAAACCGCCGUGCAAAUAUUUUCAUCCACCACAGCAUCUGAAGGAUCAAUUAUUGAUAAAUGGACGCAAUCACUUGGCCCUCAAGAAUGCAAUGAUGCAACAGUUGGGCAUCGCGCCCGGCCAGCCGGUUAUAUCGAGCCAAGUGCCAGCCGUGGCCACAAAUCCCUAUCUGACUGGCAUUCCGGCCAACUCGUACAGUCCCUACUACGCAACGGGACACCUGGUGCCCACCUUGCUGACUCCGGAUCAUACGGCCGUGGCCUCGCAGUUGGGACCCGUCGUCCCACAGACAGUGCAGGUGGCCCAGCAGAAAAUACCACGUUCCGACAGAUUAGAGAUGGAUGUUAAAACGGUUGGUUCCAUUUACUAUGAAAACUUCCAAUUCUCUGGCAUGGUGCCGUUCAAACGUCCAGCUGCCGAAAAGUCUGGCAUUCCAGUUUAUCAGCCCGGUGCGACCGCCUAUCAGCAGUUAAUGCAGCCAUAUGUGCCAGUCUCAUUUACUGGACACCCUCCCGGUGUGCCAAGAUUUUAAUAGAUCUAUGUGCAGUCGGUUAAAUUGUAGAUUCGUUCAUUUAACUGAAGAUGACAAGGUCGAGGUGAUUGAUCAACGUGUUGCUGUGUGCCGCGAUCACGCCAACAGCCAGUGCCGUCGCAAGCAGUGUAAAUACUA
rnacentral:misc_RNA from 1 species